rnacentral:rRNA from 1 species
AGAGUUUGAUCAUGGCUCAGAACGUACGCUGGCGGCACGCCUUAUACAUGCAAGUCGAACGCAGUAGCAAUACUGAGUGGCAAACGGGUGAGUAUAAUGUGGGUAUCUGCCUUUUGGUUUGGAAUAACAUGGGGAAACUUAUGCUAAUACCGAAUAAGCCUUUACAGGGAAAGUUUUAUACGCCGAAAGAUGAGCCCGCACUUGAUUAGUUUGUUGGUGAGGUAAUGGCUCACCAAGACAAUUAUCAAUAGCUGGUCUGAGAGGACGAUCAGCCACAUUGGGACUGAGACACGGCCCAGACUCUACGGGAGGCAGCAGUAAGGAAUCUUGCACAAUGGGGGAAACCCUGAUGCAGCGAUGCCGCGUGAGUGAAGAAGGCCCUUGGGUUGUAAAACUCUUUCGUCGGGGAAGAAAAUGACUGUACCCGAAUAAGAAGGUCCGGCUAACUUCGUGCCAGCAGCCGCGGUAAUACGAAGGGACCUAGCGUAGUUCGGAAUUACUGGGCUUAAAGAGCUCGUAGGUGGUUAAAAAAGUUGAUGGUGAAAUCCCAAGGCUCAACCUUGGAACUGCCAUCAAAACUUUUUAGCUAGAGUGUGAUAGAGGAAAGUGGAAUUUCUAGUGUAGAGGUGAAAUUCGUAGAUAUUAGAAAGAACACCAAAUGCGAAGGCAACUUUCUGGGUCACUACUGACACUGAGGAGCGAAAGCAUGGGUAGCGAAGAGGAUUAGAUACCCUCGUAGUCCAUGCCGUAAACGAUGUGUGCUAGACGUUGGAAAUAUAUUUUUCAGUGUCGCAGCGAAAGCAUUAAGCACACCGCCUGGGGAGUACGACCGCAAGGUUAAAACUCAAAUGAAUUGACGGGGACCCGCACAAGCAGUGGAGCAUGUGGUUUAAUUCGAAGAUACGCGCAGAACCUUACCAACACUUGACAUGUUCGUCGCGAGACCAAGAGAUUGGUUUCUUCAUUUAGUUGGACGAAACACAGGUGCUGCAUGGCUGUCGUCAGCUCGUGUCGUGAGAUGUUGGGUUAAGU